rnacentral:tRNA from 1 species
GCCCGGCGGGCUCAGUCAGUAGAGCACGUGACUCUUGAUCUCGGGGUUGUGAGUUUGAGCCCCACGCUGGGCC